GUCCCACCUGACCCCAUGCCGAACUCAGAAGUGAAACGCCGUAGCGCCGAUGGUAGUGUGGGGUCUCCUCAUGCGAGAGUAGGGAACUGCCAGGC
rnacentral:rRNA from 1 species